rnacentral:rRNA from 1 species
UGCGGCAGCUACACAUGCAGUCGAGCGGUAGAGAGGUGCUUGCACCUCUUGAGAGCGGCGGACGGGUGAGUAAUGCCUAGGAAUCUGCCUGGUAGUGGGGGAUAACGCUCGGAAACGGACGCUAAUACCGCAUACGUCCUACGGGAGAAAGCAGGGGACCUUCGGGCCUUGCGCUAUCAGAUGAGCCUAGGUCGGAUUAGCUAGUUGGUGAGGUAAUGGCUCACCAAGGCGACGAUCCGUAACUGGUCUGAGAGGAUGAUCAGUCACACUGGAACUGAGACACGGUCCAGACUCCUACGGGAGGCAGCAGUGGGGAAUAUUGGACAAUGGGCGAAAGCCUGAUCCAGCCAUGCCGCGUGUGUGAAGAAGGUCUUCGGAUUGUAAAGCACUUUAAGUUGGGAGGAAGGGCAUUAACCUAAUACGUUAGUGUUUUGACGUUACCGACAGAAUAAGCACCGGCUAACUCUGUGCCAGCAGCCGCGGUAAUACAGAGGGUGCAAGCGUUAAUCGGAAUUACUGGGCGUAAAGCGCGCGUAGGUGGUUCGUUAAGUUGGAUGUGAAAUCCCCGGGCUCAACCUGGGAACUGCAUUCAAAACUGUCGAGCUAGAGUAUGGUAGAGGGUGGUGGAAUUUCCUGUGUAGCGGUGAAAUGCGUAUAUAUAGGAAGGAACACCA